rnacentral:rRNA from 2 species
CGGCUCAGUAACACGUAGUCAACCUAACUUAUGGACGGGGAUAACCUCGGGAAACUGAGAAUAAUACCCGAUAGGUCAUGAUGCCUGGAAUGGUUUAUGACUCAAAUGAAUGUCGCCGUAGGAUGGGACUGCGAGCUAUCAGCUUGUUGGUGAGGUAAUGGCCCACCAAGGCUAUAACAGCUACGGGCUCUGAGAGGAGUAGCCCGGAGAUGGGUACUGAGACAAGGACCCAGGCCCUAUGGGGCGCAGCAGGCGAGAAAACUUUGCAAUGCGGGAAACCGUGACGAGGGAACUCCAAGUGUCUAUGCAUUGCAUAGACUGUUUUUUAGCCUAAAUAGCUAUUAGAGUAAGGGGUGGGUAAGACCGGUGCCAGCCGCCGCGGUAAAACCAGCACCUCAAGUGGUCAGGAUGAUUAUUGGGCCUAAAGCAUCCGUAGCCUGUUCUGUAAGUUUUCGGUUAAAUCCAUAAGCUCAACUUAUGGGCUGCCGAAAAUACUGCAGGACUAGGGAGUGGGAGAGGUAGACGGUACUCGGUAGGAAGGGGUAAAAUCCUUUGAUCUAUUGAUGACCACCUGUGGCGAAGGCGGUCUACCAGAACACGUUCGACGGUGAGGGAUGAAAGCUGGGGGAGCAAACCGGAUUAGAUACCCGGGUAGUCCCAGCUGUAAACGAUGCAAACUCGAUGAUGCGUUGGCUUGUUGCUAGCGCAGUGUCGCAGGGAAGCCGUUAAGUUUGCCGCCUGGGAAGUACGUACGCAAGUAUGAAACUUAAAGGAAUUGGCGGGGGAG